rnacentral:rRNA from 1 species
UUUUCCUACGGGGGGCAGCAGUAGGGAAUUUUCGUCAAUGGGCGCAAGCCUGAACGAGCGAUGCCGCGUGAGUGAAGAAGGCCUUCGGGUCGUAAAGCUCUGUUGCGGGGGAAAAAGGCAGCAUCAGGAAAUGGGUGCUGACUGAUGGUGCCCCGCCAGAAAGUCACGGCUAACUACGUGCCAGCAGCCGCGGUAAUACGUAGGUGGCGAGCGUUAUCCGGAUUUAUUGGGUUUAAAGGGUGCGCAGGCGGCGUGUCACGUCAGCGGUAAAAUGUCGGGGCUCAACCCCGGCCGGCCGUUGAAAC